rnacentral:lncRNA from 1 species
AGUACUUACCAUUCUCGGUGCCAGGAUGAAGGAGACAGUGGACAGUCCUCGGCCUUCUGGAGCUGACGUUCUCGAGACUGUGUGGUCUGGCUGCACCAGUAGCUUGCAAGUAAGAUGAAAAGUUUUACGCAGAAUGAGCCAUCCAGGGCUGAACUGGCAGCUCCUCAGCUCUCCUCUCCACUGUCGCUAGAGUGCAGCUCCCUCCUCAGGAUGAUCUCGUGAUUGCAACACGACUGAAGCAGCCCUGGGUGGGUCUUCAGCGUGUCUUCACUCCAGAGGAAGAGUAGCCCUGAGCUAAUGAUCUGCUGCCAUUCCUCCUCUUUUUGCUGAGGAAGACUGGCCCUGAGCUAACAUCUGUGCCCAUCUUCCUCUACUACACCUACCACAGCACAGUGUGCCAAGAGGUGCCAUGUCCACACCCAGGAUCCGAACCAGUGAACCCCAGGCCACUGAAGCAGAAUGUGUGCACUUAACUGCUGUGCCACCAGGCCAGCUCCAAAUUAGCUCCUUUUA